rnacentral:rRNA from 1 species
ACCUCAAAUCAGGUAGGAACACCCGCUGAACUUAAGCAUAUCAAUAAGCGGAGGAAAAGAAAAUAACAAUGAUUCCCCUAGUAACUGCGAGUGAAGAGGGACAAGCUCAAAUUUUAAAUCCAUCGGGUUUUACCCGAUCGAGUUGUAAUUUGAAGAGGCGUUUUCUGUGUUUCUGAUCAGUCCAAGUCCUUUGGGAUAAGGCAUCAUGGAGGGUGAGAAUCCCGUCCGGUUGAUCAGAUUCGCUUUACGAUACGCUUUCUAAGAGUCAAGUUGUUUGGGAUUGCAGCUUAAAAUGGGAGGUAAAUUUCUCCUAAGGCUAAAUAACGGCGAGAGACCGAUAGCGAACAAGUACCGUGAGGGAAAGAUGAAAAGAACUUUGAAAAGAGAGUUAAACAGUACGUGAAAUUGUUGAAAGGGAAACGAUUGAAGCCAGUCGUACCUUCGGGUAAUCAGCCUUUCGGGUGCGAUUAUGUGGAGUGUGAGGAGCUUAAACACCUUCAUGUUUUGCAUAUUCGUACUCUUGGGUGUACUUGCCCGUGUGGUUGGUUAACAUCAAUUUUGGUGGUCAUAAAAUGACUGGAGGAAUGUAGCUUCGAUCUCGUAUUGAAGUGUUAUAGCCUUCGGUAGAUGUGAUGAUCGAGAUUGAGGAUUGCAACGGAUACCCUUCGGGGCUACCUGUCUGGUCUCUGAUCGUUGCUCUGGUGCCGAAAGCUUGCUUACGGUUAUCAAAGUCGAUGGUCAAUAGGUUAGAACGGGUUAAAUUCGUUAAGGAUUGUUGACGUAAUGGCUUUAAACGACCCGUCUUGAAACACGGACCA